rnacentral:tRNA from 1 species
UCCCGUGUGGCUCAGUUGGUAGAGCAUGGUGUUUGCAAUGCCAGGGUUGUGGGUUUGAUUCCCAUGGGGGGGG